rnacentral:tRNA from 1 species
GGGGCUGGGGCUCAGUGGUAGAGCACUUGCCUUGCAUGUACAAGGCCCCAGGUUCGAUCCUCAGCACCA